rnacentral:rRNA from 1 species
AUUGAACGCUGGCGGCAGGCCUAACACAUGCAAGUCGAGCGGAUGAAGGGAGCUUGCUCCUGGAUUCAGCGGCGGACGGGUGAGUAAUGCCUAGGAAUCUGCCUGGUAGUGGGGGAUAACGUCCGGAAACGGGCGCUAAUACCGCAUACGUCCUGAGGGAGAAAGUGGGGGAUCUUCGGACCUCACGCUAUCAGAUGAGCCUAGGUCGGAUUAGCUAGUUGGUGGGGUAAAGGCCUACCAAGGCGGCGAUCCGUAACUGGUCUGAGAGGAUGAUCAGUCACACUGGAACUGAGACACGGUCCAGACUCCUACGGGAGGCAGCAGUGGGGAAUAUUGGACAAUGGGCGAAAGCCUGAUCCAGCCAUGCCGCGUGUGUGAAGAAGGUCUUGGGAUUGUAAAGCACUUUAAGUUGGGAGGAAGGGCAGUAAGUUAAUACCUUGCUGUUUUGACGUUACCAACAGAAUAAGCACCGGCUAACUUCGUG